rnacentral:rRNA from 1 species
AUUGAACGCUGGCGGCAGGCCUAACACAUGCAAGUCGAACGGUAACAGGAAGCAGCUUGCUGCUUUGCUGACGAGUGGCGGACGGGUGAGUCAUGUCUGGGAAACUGCCCGAUGGAGGGGGAUAACUACUGGAAACGGUAGCUAAUACCGCAUAACGUCUCAAGCCCAAAGAGGGGGACCUUAGGGCCUCUUGCCAUCGGCUGUGCCCUGAUGGGAUUAGCUAGUAGGUGGGGUAACGGCUCACCUAGGCGACGAUCCCUAGCUGGUCUGAGAGGAUGACCAGCCACACUGGAACUGAGACACGGUCCAGACUCCUACGGGAGGCAGCAGUGGGGAAUAUUGCACAAUGGGCGCAAGCCUGAUGCAGCAAUGCCGCGUGUAUGAAGAAGGCCUUCGGGUUGUAAAGUACUGUCAGCGGGGAGGAAGGGAGUAAAGUUAAUACCUUUGCUCAUUGACGGUACCCGAAGAAGAAGCACCGGCUAACUACGUG